rnacentral:rRNA from 2 species
AGCUCCAAUAGCGUAUAUUAAAGUUGUUGCAGUUAAAACGCUCGUAGUCGGAUUUCGGGGCGGGCCGACCGGUCUGCCGAUGGGUAUGCACUGGCCGGCGCGUCCUUCCACCCGGAGACCGCGCCUACUCUUAACUGAGCGGGCGCGGGAGACGGGUCUUUUACUUUGAAAAAAUCAGAGUGUUUCAAGCAGGCAGUCGCUCUUGCAUGGAUUAGCAUGGGAUAAUGAAAUAGGACUCUGGUGCUAUUUUGUUGGUUUCGAACACCGGAGUAAUGAUUAACAGGGACAGUCAGGGGCACUCGUAUUCCGCCGAGAGAGGUGAAAUUCUCAGACCAGCGGAAGACGAACCACUGCGAAAGCAUUUGCCAGGGAUGUUUUCACUG